CAGAUACCACCCUAGCCUUCUCAU
rnacentral:tRNA from 1 species